UUAGUUUUGUUUUAUUUUUCUCUCUGAAGAUGGCUGAUUUUGGGAGAAAUCUAAUCAAAACUAUAAUACGAACUCUUGUUAUGGCUCCGGUGUAUACUACAGCAGGAUAUGUUGCAUACAGAACUGGACGCUGGUUCUAUAAUCAUGAGAUGAGGAGACUUGCUAUAGUGAG